rnacentral:rRNA from 1 species
AUUGAACGCUGGCGGCAGGCUUAACACAUGCAAGUCGAGCGGGGUGAUGGUGCUUGCACUAUCACUUAGCGACGGACGGGUGAGUAAUGCUUAGGAAUCUGCCUAUUAGUGGGGGACAACGUCUCGAAAGGGAUGCUAAUACCGCAUACGUCCUACGGGAGAAAGCAGGGGAUCACUUGUGACCUUGCGCUACUAGAUGAGUCUCAGUCGGAUUAGCUAGUUGGUGGGGUAAAGGCCUACCAAGGCGACGAUCUGUAGCGGGUCUGAGAGGCUGAUCAGCCACACUGGGACUGAGACACGGCCCAGACUCCUACGGGAGGCAGCAGUGGGGAAUAUUGGACAAUGGGGGGAACCCUGAUCCAGCCAUGCCGCGUGUGUGAAGAAGGCCUUAUGGUUGUAAAGCACUUUAAGCGAGGAGGAGGCUCUUUUGGUUAAUACCCAAGAUGAGUGGACGUUACUCGCAGAAUAAGCACCGGCUAACUCUGUGCCAGCCGCCGCAGUAA